CGGCGACCGGCGCACGGGUGAGUAACACGUAUGCAACCUGCCCUCCGCAGGGGGAUAACCCGGAGAAAUCCGGACUAAUACCGCGUGGUACACCAGUGGGGCAUCCCACGGGUGUUAAAAGGAAGCGAUUCCGGCGGAGGAUGGGCAUGUGGCGCAUUAGCUUGUUGGCGGGGUAACGGCCCACCAAGGCGACGAUGCGUAGGGGUUCUGAGAGGAAGGUCCCCCACACUGGUACUGAGACACGGACCAGACUCCUACGGAAGGCAGCAG
rnacentral:rRNA from 1 species